ensembl:lncRNA
GCAGCCCUGCAGCUGAUAAAAGGGACUUCUUGGGCUUUGCUUGUCUGAUUUUGUCACCAUGUAGUUGUGGAUGAGGCAGUUCUGGAGUAUCCAUUUUUCUCCGUUGGCCAGAAAGGGAGUUUCUUUCUUGCCCAGAUGAACGUGUCUGCAACUGACCCCUUGAAAUGCUUCAGGGACAAUAAUUAUAUGGCUACAAAGCAAAGAAGGAAUCCGGCUGACAGAAAGGGAGGGGCUGGUUGAGGUGGGAAUGAGAGCAUACAUGAAAUGAUUUGUCGUCUCUUUGUAAAUUGUAUGAGAACAACCCAAACAGGCCACUGCAGCUGAAGAAAGUGAAUUUCAAUGAUCUGAUAUCUUCCAGGCAAAAUCCCAUGGGAAGCGAUUCCGAGGAGAGGGGCUUAAAUAACAGACAACAGGAGCACAAGCGCUGGCCAUCCCAGAGCAAAGCGUGGGCUGGGAGUGCCAAAGGAGCCAAAGAGAAGUUCUUCAUUGGCUUCAGAUACAAGACAGAGCAUACAGAGAGUGACAACUGCUGCGGUACUCGGGGCUGCUGUGAAGGAGUCGUAUGGAAAGGGAAGGACCGCUUCACAGAAGGAGGGUGUAAUGAGGAAUAUCGAAGGUAGAAGGAACUGUAAGUAGUACGAGAUGGAUUGAGAAUUGGACCACUGCUUGGCAGAAAGGGGAAGGUACGGACAGGCAGGUCCCUGAGAAGUUGUGCACCCAUCCACAGCUGCUUUGAUUAUGAGCUCCCCACUGAGCUUCCUACUUUCUCUGUGCUGGUUUUUAUCAGGCCAGUUGGUUUCUUUCUUCUAAACACCCUGUUUGGCCUCUUUGAGCAUCAGUGCAUUUUUAUUCUCCAUAAAUCUGAUGAAGUUUCUGUUUAUCCCAAGGAUUGCUAUUGUUCUUUAAAUAAUAGCAAUGCAAGUAGGUUGGAGGUCUCCUCGGGCAGAGCCGUAGGACUGAUGGGUGCAGGCUGGCUGUGCCUGCUGGGCUCGAGUCUGGAUUGCUAAUGGUGGCUGUUCAGUAUCCACCUUAGUUCCCAAUGGGUUGGAAAGCGCUUUGUGAUGUGGCACACAUACACCAUUCCCCUAACGACGGAACCGAAGUAUUUCAUCAACACUUGCACGUUUUGACUCUGCAGUUUGCAGGUGCAAAGUUUCUCACUGAAUGGGAGAGUAUUUGUGGCAGGAACCAAGACUGGAAGGGCUGAGGCGGAUGGCUGAGCGCAGAGCCGAAAGGUGGUGAUGCUCACACAGCCCCGCGUGAAGGCGGGAUGCAAUUAGUGCAGAACGUCUGCUUCAAUAAAUCACCGCAAAAAGUGCUGCGCUCAGGGAAGACUGCUGUGGGACUGAUGGGGGCAGGAGAUGCCCCGGUCAGUGGUGUCCAUGUGAGUUGCAAGAAGGAAGGAAAGAACGGAGAACAGAGAUCGGAGACCAUCAACAGACGUUUCAGAUACUGACACCAACAGCACUUCUGAGAGCUGCGUGGCCUGAGGAGCAGUGUAAGAAGAUGGCUGGAAAUACGGCCUGCCUCCUGCUCCCACCUGAGGGUGGGCUGAGGAGGACACAAUGGGCUCUGUGGUUCCGAGAUGAGAGAGAAGAGUAGCAAAGGGGAUUAAUCAGGCUGAAGAAUCUGGCUGCAAGGCAUCCUGACGGUGACUGGAGCAGCCUGUGCUGCUGAACUGGUUCUUCUUCACUCAUCACAGCUUCAGGGGAGGUCUUGCAGGAAUCUAAGAACACUUCAGGAAAGAGCUGAACUCUGGGCUGGCUGCACAGAGCCCAGGGAGCUGAGACGACGGCAGGAAACCUACAGACCACAGCAGUGUUUGUAGUGCUCAGCCUCUGGACACAUCCUGGGGCUUCCUUAUGCCUCAAGGCUAGUUAACCACUUGAAUGAGGAGGGAGCUUUUCCUGCUUGCUCUUUAUUCUUUGGAUCCUCCCUGGACUCAGCCUGUGCUGGCAGCACUGUGAUGCCGCAGCAGCUUCAGGAACGCCUCUGACAGCCCCAGAGCUGCGAGGGAGCAGCUACUCUGCAUGCAAGGAGGAGCACUGCGUCUCCUGAGCCCUCACUUUAAGUCAUGCAAACGGUGUUUGGAUGUUUCUGAGCCUUGAAGUGCCUCCUGUCUCCCACCUCACAUCCUUCCUGACAGCUCCCUGCUCCUGUGCUGGAGGAUGUGUGCUGACAGAGGAAAAGUACUGUUGUCUUCCUGAGACCCUCCAAUAGGGAGAGCGGGUGUUGGGGAAUAGAUUUGCAGGGCAGAGGGCAGGGAACAGCUCCUGAAUGUGCCCCCACACCAUUCCGAAGAAGCCAGUACUGAGGGAUAGGGAAUUAGUUGGUUCCUUUUCACUCAUAGCCCUCACUGAGCAAUACCUGCAUGGGAUAUUACCACCCCACCAGCUCAAUGCAUCCUGGGGCACCUCCAUCUCCCGUGGGAGUGGGCUGGGCACGCUGGGCAUGAGCUGCUGCCACAAGAGUCUGCUCUGUGCCAGCAGCAAGCGGCCACCAUCUGCAGCAGGGAGGGAGGCACAGAGAGGGGAAGCGAGCUGCCAUUUCCCAUUGCCAUCGUGGUCAUGCAUUUAGUACUGCCAUAUGAGAUACCCUUUCCACUGGGAACUGUCGCCCUGGGGUGUGAGCUGUACAGUGCCUGCAUGGAGCCAGGGUGAGGAACUGCUGAGUCACGGCCUGAACCACUGAUGGAUCACCUGGGGAAAGGACCCGGUCAGCCCUGGGAGCACAGGUGAAGGCAAUUCAUGUUUGUGACCAGAAGGGGUGGAGCCUGACUGCACCUCUCUUAGACCUCAUUUCAGGGCUGACUGCCACUGGGGAAGGAUGGUGUUCUGGAGAUCCCUCCUUGGUGAAGCUUUGCCCUGUGAACCUGGAAUCUUCUGAUUCAGCCCACCCUUGGAUACCGACAGGCCGCUCUUCUCCUUGGAGAAGUUGGGAGUCCUGAACGCGUCCGACAAGGCUGCGUUCCGCCCCGCGUACCAACACCUUCGCCGGGUUCAGCCGUUAAUUACCCUGAAACGACGGAGGCUCUUUGCGGCGCUGGGCAGGCAUCUGCCGUGGGGACGGCGGUGGCCGAGGGGCAGCUCGGCGCGGUACCGCCCGGCCGGGGGGG